AAAGGAAAGAAGAGAAACGGCUGUUAGCACGCAGCAGUUGGCAUGUGGGCCCCAAGGACCCAAUCUCACAGAAACAGCAAGUCAGUCGCGCACUGGCAGCACCGCGCCUGCAGAGAACAGCAAAUAUGCAGAGCCCCAAACGCAACACGCCCUCUGCCAGCACCCGCUUCUCCUGAAAACCCCUCUCCAAUUUUUAUUUAGCACUGCUUUUCUGCUUAUUUACUCAAGAUGACACAGCCAUGCUAGCGAAACCAAACCAAACCGCAUGCACAGCUCGCGUGCACUGCUGCUGAACCGAGCUGAUGGGGAAUGUUUCCACCUUGUGCCCCUUAAUAGCUUUACACUUCUUUUAUUUGUUGAAGUAGAAAGAAACUCAAGAGCCCGGUAUAUUUAUUAAUAAAACCCAAGCUGGUCAGGAAACUACUAUCAUGUCUAAUCCCAGAGUCUCUCAUUGCCAGCCAAGCACCAAGGCGUACUCAGAAAUAACACAAGCGGGCGCCAGCGGCCGACAACUGCCGGUCUGCUGAAACCCGCACCAGCAGCACAGAGCUCCGGCUUCAUCUCAAAAGGCAAACUGGGUCAAUUCCACAUUGUCAACUUCACAUUUCAAUCCCAGUCAAUUAGUCUGAGUCACUGAUUUUUUUUCCCAUGUCUUUCAUUCAAUGCAUUUACAACUAUUCAAGUUAAACAGACUAAAAUGGUUGGUAUAACCUCAAGAUAAGGCUACUUGGAGUACGGUUUCAUGGUUGCAUACGGUUGUGCCUAAUUGCAAUGUAAAAAUACAAUUUACUUAUUUUAAACAAAAAGAUCAUCAGGAGCAGGUUUUAUUCUGAAAAUCCUAGAAUUCUGAAAAAAAACUUUUUAGCUUGAAAAAAAAAGCUAAUUUGCUUAACAAAAACGUGUAGUGUAGGAAUUUACAGUAAAAAAUACCAAACUAUAAAUACCAAGCUACAUGCAGUACGCUUUUGUUAGUCUUGAAACUAAGCUAAAACCACCAAAAAACUGUAUUUUGCAUUGGGUUACCAUUUCACAUGUUGGGUUACCAAUUCACAUCCAUGAUGAAAGAAUGAAAACAAAGUAAAAUAAAAAGCAAAACAUCCCCCAGCUAACUCAACCAAUUCCCAACCGAGACCAGCAAACUGCCGGUAAGACACCUUACUUUGCCUGACUGAUCUGGAAUAAUAACAUUUACUAACAUAUCUCAAGGAUUUUAAACAAACAUGAGAGGUCUCAAGAGUCUGUCCUAUGACAACACAUACCUAAAACCACCAUAAAAAAAAAAAAAAAGAGGGAUUUUCUUAAGGUCACUGAGCAAAUUAAUGGAAGCACUCCAAGGGCCCCAUUUCACCCAGCUUCCCACUGUGACCUCUACCACCAGCAAGCUAAAAUUCAUAAAUAAAAAGUCAGUCUCUGCAGAUCACUAGCAGCUACAACAGUUCACGGACAUGAAUUGUUCAGAUAUUGCUUGUUUUGAUAUAUAAAUAACACUCAGUAAUCUACUCCCAAGAGAGGAAAUAACCAUCAACGCUUUUUGUAACUGUUUUUCACAUUAUUUUAUGCAUCCUUUUUUCUUCAGCAGGUUAUUAAUACAUACUGCUUCUGGCAUAUAUACAAAGGAUGUUUAUUAUGAGAGAAAUGUUUUACUGGCUAACAAUAGCAUAUCUAUUAAGAAAUCUAAAUAUAAAUGCCAAAAGGAAAUUUAUUGGCCAUUUGAAUACUUUAUUUACUCACUCAAGGUUUAGCACUGAGAAUUCAAACAAGGCUAACAAGACUCAGACACCCUCACGCUAACCGAAGAAGCAGCAGUAUCAGCAUAUACUUAUCCACAAAAAUAAGGAAACUAAAUAAAGCAUUUUUUCUCCCUGAAUUAACAACUGAUAAGGUUGUUAGUAAGGUUGUGUUACUUUGUCAACACAAGUCUCUUGUGUAUAUUAAGAUCCGGGCAAGCAUAAGAUCAGCUUUGCUCUACUAAUUCUAAGCAACCUCAACACUCCACCAACUUGCAAAGUGGUGAAGUCCAGCGUAGUAACAACUGCAUUUAUUUAUCGCCUCUAGCAAAAAUAUUAAAGAAUAACUCACAUAUUGAUACUGGAGGAUAUGCAGAUCCAAUUUCUCCGUAACAGUAAAAUUAAUGGAACUGUUACAAAUUUGCAUCACAGAUAAAAGAAUGCCAGCAAGUGACGAACAUAUGCAAGCAGCAUAAUUUAUUAUUCAAAUGAGUUUUCUGUUCUUUCCUCCUAACUCAUCUGUAUCCGUAAGACAUUCAGGUAAAAAUUAUCCUUCUGUAGUAUACUUGGGCAGUCACUUUAUCCCAAUAUUUGAUUUUGCAGCGGAUUUAAAAUUGUCUCACAUAACACCUCCAACAGCAUCUCUCCCAUCCGAGUUAUUCUUAGAUCCUCUUGUGCAGCCAGAAACACAUCAACCUCGGUUAUACACAAAGCAAAUAAUGGUGCCUUGACUUUCAGUCAUCCAUCCACUUUCAAAGUACAGAAAAAUCACCUGUUUAGUAACAGCUCUUCUCCUUCAUCUGAAGGGACAGAAUUUAAAAUAAAUAUGCAUAUGUACAUAUAUUUUUGAAAGUUAAAAUGCUGCCCUGUUGCUUGUAACUACUAUUAGAAAAGCACAGCCCAUACGGUGGCUUUACGCUGUGUACAAGUCACUGACAGAGGCAAGCUACAAGAGCGAAGUAGCGUGGGAUGUUAAAAAAAAAAACAAAAAACACUAAUGUACCGCUAAUUAAGAUUAUAGGCAGAACCGAGUAUGGCACUGAAUGUCAUAUUUCUACAACUGCUGCUAGUGACCAACCCAAGCUCCAUUUACUAAACCUAGAACAAAAAAAAAAAAAAAAAAAAAAAAACUGCCUAAACCCAAACAAGAACAAUCAUCACUGUUCCAUCUUUAUCGCAGGCUUCAUUUCAAUUGCAUUGCACAGAGGCAAAGUGACAGAAAAUACGGUGCUGGCAGCCAAUGUCACCUUUUCGGGCAGACACCAGCCCAGUUACACAAACAGGAGAUAUGGAGGAAAACACGUUUGUGCCAGCUCUGGCAGACAGGAAAACCAACAUGUCUCUCUUGUACAAAGCCACUCACACCUCUUACUGGUUCUUUGCUUUCCUUCCAGCAGGACAAUUUUCUUGUUUUCUAAACUUUGCCACUUCUGCAGCAUUCAGGUAAGUUUUAAAGGCCGUUCUCAACAUAUAGGAUGUGCCUGGGCUAAUUCUUUAGGCACUGAGGAUUUGAAUACAAUCAAUGCUAGAUCAUCUUGUACAGUAAAAUUGAUCUUUGAAAGCAAAUUAAUCAAUUCAUACGGAACGCAGAGAAUUCAGUGUUCCUACAGAAGGAAGGCAGGCGCUGGGCAUUGCAAAAGGGAAGGUCACAGUGCCUAACCACAGGGCCCAGCCUUUGCUAAAUCUCAAGUCCAAUAAUCACCACCAGUUAAGGUCCAGCACAGUGCUUUACAAAGAUCCAAAUGUCAAGAGAUUGAACAGAAGCAGCAAAGCCCAUGAGCGGACGUUAUGAAGAACAGAAUGAUCACACUGGAGACAAACCCAGGGGACGGACAGCCAGCCUGCCGUGCCCGGGAGUUCCCCCAGUUGGGAGCUCGGUUCCAAAGGGCAGCGAGCUGGGCAAGAUCGAGCCUCCCUCCUACCGCAUCCAGCUGUGCGGACAACUCACUGACAGGCGAACAGGGAACAGAGCAUUCCCUCUGUUCCUAAUGCCCAAGAUUAUCUGGGGACCAGAACUACUACACAGGGUGUCAGUGGCCUUCAGCUGACCAAAUGAUUGUUACAGUUCCUUCCUACAUGUGCAUGUGAGCGUUGUUUUUUUAAUAGAUGUGGGGGUUUUUGUUGUUUUUUUGUUUGUUCUGUUUUUUAAGAUAAUGGAAGCAUAUCCUCUUGCCAUGCAUGACUGAGUUCACUAUUAAUGCAAUUACUGGGUUACAAGAAUCUUAAAUUAGAUGUUUCCACAGUACAAAGCACACUGAAAAUUUCAUCGUGAUUGCUGCUGAUCUAUCUGGACUCAGCAGUUCAGCUGAAUUAUAAACCUUGACAGGGUGCAGGUCUAAUGAAUAUCACACUGAGCCGAGGCCCCCUUUUGUAUUAUCGCAUCCACUUUCCCCCCCUUUAUAUGUCACAGGCAGGAGAGAAGUUAUAAAAAGGCAACAGACUCAAAAAAUUAACUCAGCCAAAAAUGAAUCCAUCAUCUACACCUUCAUACGUUAAAGCUUUAUUCAGCAAUCAGAAGUUGUCAAGCCAGAAGUCUGGUUGUAAAACUAAAACGUGAACAGCUCACCACUGUUCGCAUAUAGGAAAACCGUACUCCUGAAGAACAAAGUUGUAUUCUGGGCCCAAGGGUAAAGGGAAUCCUGCAAAGGGGACAGGGAAGACUGAAGCAGAACAGGGCGCACGAGUAACUGACUGAAAGGCAGCCGGUACAGAUCCCUUCCUCCCACGAGGAGUUGAAGCCCGUCUCUGUCACAACCCCUGGCACCUCCGAGCAGGGCAGCGAGUGCAGCGUGUUUGGGUGUUGGGAUCCAAACAGAGCUGCAAAUGCACAACUCCACAGCCAGGGGCACAUACCGUACCCUACCUGCUUCCCAGCGAGACAGAGGCAAAACCACCUCGGCAGGGGCCAGGCUGGACAUCGGACCCCUGCCCCAGGGGGAUGAACCCGGCUCAACGCAGGCUCCUCGAAGCCACCCCGUCGCCCAUCCCGCCGCCCGGCUGUUUAACCGGCUCACUGCAGACCAUCACAAAGCGCAGCCCCUUCCCGAGAGCCUGAAGCGCUCAGGGCGCUCGGGUUGGCACCCCGAUGAGGAAGGGGAAGCCGCGAGCUUGACACAAAGGGCUUUCGGAAGGACCUUCCUGGGGCAGCGCGGGCACAGAAUAGCUCAGCGCCUCAGCCACGCACCGCCGGGCGCUGCCCCGGGCAGCUCAGGGUAACGGGCAGAGGCAGGAGGGGGAGCAGCGCAGAACAGGCGGCUUUUGUUACUUCCGAGCUCCCGCUCCGCAGAAGCUAAAGGAAGGUGAGAGGGGGAAAAAAGCAUGCCCAGGACAACAGUUGUUGUACCCAUGGAUCACAAACUACGGGCUGGACCAUGAAGAUGGUAAGAAGGCUUAGCCGAUUCCACGUUAUAACUGUGUGAACACUGAGCAGCUUAAAGCAAGCAAUACAAUUGUUCUCAUCCAGAACAACAAACCAAAGCUCAGGAUACACAGAAAUGAGUGAACAUUGCUUUGAGCAAAAUAGGAAGACCUAGUGCACAUUCUCGUAGCUGGCCAGCAUAUGAAGGAGGACUCCCACCUAAGAGUUCUCAUUUUGCAGUACGGAAGAGAAUCCAGGUGAAUGGGCAGUGUACAGUGUCCAUUACAAAUAAUGGCCCUGAUGGAGCAGCACAACCUCUGACAACAAUUUUAUGGAACAACAUCCCCAGCAGCAUGAGACGAAGAAAACAUUGGUAAACAGGAAGCGUUCGUUCUGAAAAGGAGCUACAGAGGAUGGAAAGACAUGAAAGACAAGGAAGCCAGCCAAACCUCUUAGAUGUGGGAACAAAGCCACUGACUGUUUCCAAACAAAUUCUGGAAUAAGACUGUUCUUUUUAUGAGGAUGAUUAUAAACAAGACACCAAGGUGCAGUUCCCCAGCUCUACCACAACCCUCAUGUAAGACUUUCACCAAAUCACCCUGCUUCCUUUCCCAUCUGUAACAAUGGGAGAAAUAACUUCUUCCACCAUUCUUUACUAGUUGUUUGCUUAGCUCAUUAAUUCAGUGGGGUAGGAAAUAUGUCAUGUACAGUAAUUGCAACAUGCUUAACACAGUAGAAUUCUGAUUUAGUAGGACUUGCCUUAGAUACCUACACACCCUAGUACUCCUACAAUCAUCAUCAUUACUAGAGAUCUUCAUAAUAGCUAAGUUCUGAGUACAUAAACCAACCCUGGUCCAAGGUAGGAGGUCAAUUUUUUUUUUUAUUUUAAUUUCUCAGUAAAAAUAACUGCUCUUACUAAAUAAAAAGUGUUAAUGGAAGCAACUUCUUCUGUUACUUGAAAAAUACAGCUUUGCAGCUGUUUGGUCAGUGGCAAACAUACUAUCACGUUUUUCUCAAAAUCACCACCUUCACCUGCUCACAGGGGAACUGGAUACCUUGCACUCAUUCCUGUUUUAGACCAUUCCAACACUUUGCAUCAACAUUUUAGAAUAAAUUGGUCCAAAAUGUUACCAUCUUGCUGCAUAUACAGACUACUAUCCUCAUUCUACACAUAAGGAAACCGAAUCAUAGACCCAGAAACCAGGCUUUUACAACCAACUUAACAAGACCGCCCAUAAUAUUUUCGUUCUGAGAGAACGUUCCUCAGUGCAACUAUCUGUCUCAAUUAUAUUAAUCUAUUCCUCAGAUUUAAAAACAACUUAAUUAAAGCUACCAUUGAGCACAUGCAACCUUGGUUGAGAAAGGAUAUUUGAAAAGCAAAUGCUUCUCCCCGCCCUUGCACGGCUCCAAUUCACAAAGUAAAAAUUCACCAGUAAGAAAGAAAAUGCCAUUUCUUGCAUACAACUUCUACCAGUUACCAAGUGCUUCAGAAAGAAGAAAGGGACACUAGAAAGAGUGAAUAUGACAUUUCCUCUGUCCUAUAAAAUAUUAUUUUAAAACGUAAAGGGAAUUUUGAGUCCCAUUAACUAAAUAAACAAACAAU